ensembl:snoRNA SNORD36 Small nucleolar RNA SNORD36
UGACAAUGAUGCACAGAAUUUCUUCGCCUGAAAAGACCGUGUAGUAAUAUUGACCCUGAGACAA